AUAGAGAUUAACUUCUCUCCUAAGCUUUAUUUUUUCAUUUCUAUAAACAUUUUAAUUCAUGCCGACAUCCCAGCCAGUCUGAAUUACAGAUGGAUAGCCCGCUGAAUGGCCUGGUCUCUGCCAUACGCAUAGACAUGUGCACAGGUGCCUGUGUUUACUCUCUCUCUUUUUCUCUUUCUCUCUCCUUCUCCCUCCCUCCCCUGGCGCUGCCCACAGAACCAGAGCCAUGGAGGAGAAGCCAAGAGCCAGGCUUUAGUUCUAGUUCUGCUGCUGAACGCUGAACCCCAGUGUCCUCAUUCGGAGGGUGGGUGGAUCAGUUGAUGCUAAUACCCCUGCCAGCCCACCUUGCGGGGCUGCCCUGCCUGUGUGGAUUUUCCACCUCCUCUCACCCCUGGCUUCUCCGUGUCAAGACCUCCCAACAGCCUUCGGCCCGGGACCCGAUCGUGGUGUGGCAGGGAAGCCUGUGCGCGGCUCCAGGUGUUUUGCCAAAGAAAGAAUUCCGUGUGUGGAUACAUCUGGGGAAUUAGACCCACUCGAUUAGCCCUUACUCUCAAGCCGUACAAGCCAACUCACCUAAUUUAAAUUUAGAAAGGAACUAUUCUAAGGGCCCAGAGUAGCUCAGAUAAUCUCCUGGAGAGUCAAGAAAUUAAGGUCAGAAACAAAAUAGCCAAGAGCAACACCCAAAGUCACACUGUAAGACUUGUCCCUGGGAGACCCUAUGUCUGCACAGAUACUUUGACUUGGGCUACCAGCUCUGCCUGCCCUGGAGGCCCCUCUAAAAUGACUGCCAAAAUAUCCUCUGGAUACAUACUGUCACUGCUGUCACCCCUACCCUUGCCUCUGUGCAGUGGGCUUUGCAGAGAACCUGCCUCUUCAUAUUGGGUUCAAACCCUGAGUCUGGAGUGAGGUCAUGGACCCGUCUCCUUAGCUGCAAGAGAGGCGGGAACAAGAAGAUUGUUUUUAGCUUCUUCACUUUACCUCAAGCACAGGAGGGAAGAACAGGUCCCAGGUGAGUGAAAAGAAUGAUCAUGUUAUCUACACUGUGG
rnacentral:lncRNA from 1 species